AUGUUUUUAGCUAUAUCUAGCCUGUAAACAUUGGCAGUUAACCAAGGGCAAGGGCCUUCCAUUGUAUUAUACGAUAGGCUUGAUCCUCUCAUCAUCCCUAACGUAGGUAACUGGAUAUCUUAGUUUUUGUUAGUGGGGAUCUAUGUUCCCGUUUAUCCCAU
rnacentral:snRNA from 1 species